CGUGAAAUGAAUGGAAUGAUGGAUGAUGAAUAGAAUGGUAGAAAUUGAAUUUUAUGAAUCCUAUUUCUACUGGAGGCCAACGGGGCAAGCAGUAUGUGUGAUGACCCUGCCCGGCACUAAUAUUUAGAUCACCGAAACGACGGAUUUAACAUCAAGAAUGCGAAUGGAUUCAGUUUCGCACGUCGUAAUGGUAACAACCAUCACAAAAUAAAAAACAAACAAACUAAAACACACACUUUGUGCAUCACUUCCACAUCUCACACUUUACGUGAGCACGAGUGAAAAAGAGUCUUUUAGAUGUUGAUGGAAGGAUAUAGGAUCCUUCUGGUAGCCUAAGUAGUCUACCAUCCAAAUGUACCAACAAUGACGAUACCACUUCAAACUUCGAGGUUAAUAUAAAAGACAAACAUUUUAAAAACAAAUUAUCGAUUACAUUACAC